ensembl:snRNA U5 U5 spliceosomal RNA
CGACUCUGGUUUCUCUUCAUUACGCACAAGCCUUUCGCCUUUUACUAAAGACUUCCGUGGAGAGGAACACUUACAAGUUCAACAUAUUUUUGGAAGGGCUUUGCUUCUGGCAGAGCC